rnacentral:rRNA from 1 species
GAUGAACGCUAGCGGCAGGCCUAACACAUGCAAGUCGAGGGGCAGCACAGAAACAGCAAUGUUUUGGUGGCGACCGGCGGACGGGUGCGUAACGCGUAUGCAACCUACCUUUAACAGGGGGAUAACGGAGAGAAAUUUCCACUAAUACCCCAUAACAUCGAUCAAGGCAUCUUGAUUGGUUGAAAACUCCGGUGGUUAAAGAUGGGCAUGCGUUGUAUUAGGUAGUUGGUGAGGUAAUGGCUCACCAAGCCUACGAUACAUAGGGGGACUGAGAGGUUCGCCCCCCACACUGGUACUGAGACGCGGACCAGACUCCUACGGGAGGCAGCAGUGAGGAAUAUUGGUCAAUGGGGGCAACCCUGAACCAGCCAUGCCGCGUGCAGGAAGACGGCUCUAUGAGUUGUAAACUGCUUUUAAACAGGGAUAAAGCACAGUAUGUAUACUGUGUUGAAGGUACUGUAAGAAUAAGGAUCGGCUAACUCCGUGCCAGCCGCCGCGGUAA